AUCCAUCUAACGAGUCCCAUAUAGAACGAAAUGCACAUUCUGGAU
rnacentral:hammerhead_ribozyme from 1 species